UACGUAGGGUGCAAGCGUUGUCCGGAAUUAUUGGGCGUAAAGAGCUCGUAGGCGGUUUGUCGCGUCGAAUGUGAAAACCCGGGGCUCAACCCCGGGCCUGCAUUCGAUACGGGCAGACUAGAGUUCGGUAGGGGAGUCUGGAAUUCCUGGUGUAGCGGUGAAAUGCGCAGAUAUCAGGAGGAACACCGGUGGCGAAGGCGGGUCUCUGGGCAACAACUGACGCUGAGGAGCGAAGCGUGGGGAGCGAACAGG
rnacentral:rRNA from 1 species